rnacentral:lncRNA from 1 species
GUAGUAUGGUAAAUGUUUUGAAUGAUGCGAAAUCGUUAAGCGUAUGCAAAUACCCUUGGAGCCGUUUUUACCAAAAAAGGGGGAGGGUUAAAUCCGAAGAUUUCUGUGUCAUGUGAUGUGACAAGAUCAAACAAGUAUCGCCAAAAGUUAGGCCUAUGUAUGGCUAUCAAGCUUGUAAGACAAAUUUUGGAUAAAAACAGAAAAGACACACCAAGGCGAUGAAAUCCUGUACCUACCCGUAUUUUGAAAGCAAAUAAGAAACAGACUAUAGCAUGAAAACGGAAUUAUUCA